rnacentral:rRNA from 1 species
AACGAACGCUGGCGGCAGGCCUAACACAUGCAAGUCGAACGCCCUAGCAAUAGGGAGUGGCGCACGGGUGCGUAACGCGUGGGAAUAUGCCCUUGACUACGGAACAACACAGGGAAACUUGUGCUAAUACCGUAUAAUGUCUCCGGACCAAAGAUUUAUCGGUCAAGGAUUAGCCCCGCGUUAGAUUAGCUAGUUGGUGAGGUAAUGGCUCACCAAGGCUACGAUCUAUAGCUGGUCUGAGAGGAUGAUCAGCCACACUGGGACUGAGACACGGCCCAGACUCCUACGGGAGGCAGCAGUGAGGAAUAUUGGACAAUGGGGGGCAACCCUGAUCCAGCCAUGCCGCGUGAGUGAUGAAGGCCUUCGGUUGUAAAACUACUUUAGUAUGUGACGAUGAUGACGGUAACAUCAGAAAAAGACUCCGGCUAACUUCGUGCCAGCAGCCGCGGUAAU